rnacentral:lncRNA from 1 species
GGUUCAGGCAUGUCUGGCAGGUGGUUCCGCUCUGUCUGAGAGGUGGUUCCCGCACUCCCGGCUGUUAAUUCCAGAGAGUCCGCCAUGUGUUUGUGGCAUAACUGGGAGAGGAUUUUGGUGUGUCCGGCACGUGGUCCUGGCUCAUUUGAGAGGUGGUUCCGUCAUGCCCGGGAAGUGAUUCCGGAGUGACCGCCAAGUGUUUCUGGCGUAGCCGGCACAUGAUUUUGGCGCAGACGGUUCAGGCGAGUCGAGCAGGAGUUCUGGCGUGCUCGGCAGGUGGUUCAGGAAUGUUUGGCAGUUUGUUCCGCUCUGUCUGGGAGGUGGUUCCGGCAUGUCCGGCACGUGGUUCUGGCAUGUCUGAAUGUGGGUCCGGCACGCCGGGCAGGUGAUUCCGGACUGUCUGCCACGUGCUUCUGGCAUAGCCGGCAGGUGACUUUGGCGUGUCUGGCAGGUGGUUCCGGCGAGUGGAGCAGGUGGUUCCGGCGUGCUGGACAGGUGGUUCAGGCGUGUGCUGCAGGUGGUUCCGGUCUGUCUGGAGGUGGUUCCGGUGUGUCCGGCCCGUGGUUCUGGCACGUCUGAGAGGUGGUUCCUUCAUACCCGGCAGGUGAUUCCAGAGUGUCCGAAAAGUGGUUCUGGCGUAGCCGGCAGGUGAUCUUGGCAUGUCUGGCAGGUGGUUCCGGAGAGUCGAGCAGGUGGUUCCGGCAUGCUCGGCAGGUGUUUCAGGUGUGUCCGGAUGGUGGUUCCGGUCUGUCCGGGAGGUAGUUCCGGCGUGUUCGGCAUGUGGUUCUGUCAGGUCUGAGAGGUGGUUCCGGCCUGCCAGGCAGGUGAUCCUGGAGUGUGUGACAAGUGACUCUAGUGUAACUGGGAGAUGAUUUUGGUGUGUCCGGCAGGUGGUUCUUGCAUGUUCGGCAGGUGGUUCCGGCGAGUCGAGCUGGUGGUUCCGGCAUGCUCGGCAGGUGGUUCCGGUGUGUCCGGCACGUGGUCCUGGCUCAUUUGAGAGGUGGUUCUGGCAUGCCUGGCAGGUGAUUCCGGAGUGACCGCCAAGUGGUUCUGGCGUAGCUGGCAGCUGAUUUUGGCGCAUCCGGCAGACGGUUCAGGUGAGUCGAGCAGGAGUUCCGGCGUACUUGGCAGGUGGUUCAGGCAUGUUCAGCAGUUCGUUCUGCUCUGUCUCGGAGGUGGUUCCGGCAUGUCUGGCACGUGGAUCUGGCAUGUCUGAAGGUGGUUCCGGCAUGCCGGGCAGGUGAUUCUGGACUGUCCCCCACGUGCUUCUGGUGUAGCCGGCAGGUGACUUUGGCGAGUCCAGCUGGUGGUUCCAGCGAGUGGAGCAGGUGGUUCCGGCAUGCUGGACAGAUGGUUCAGGCAUGAGCUGCAGGUGGUUCUGGUGUGUCUGGAGGUGGUUCCGGCCUGUCUGGCACGUGGUUCUGGCACGUCUGAGAGUUGGUUCCUUCAUGCCCGGCAAGUGAUACCAGAGUGUCCGAAAAGUGGUUCUGGCAUAGCAGGCAGGUGAUGUUGGCAUGUCUGGCAGGUGGUUCCGGCGAUUUGAGCAGGUGGUUUCGGCAUUUUCGGCAGGAGUUUCCGGUCUGUCCAGGAGGUGGUUCCAGCGUGUCCGGCACGUGGUUCUGGCACAUCUGAGACGUGGCUCCGGCAUGACCGGCAGGUGAUUCCAUUGUGUCCGCCUAGUGGUUCUUGCCUAGCCAGCAGGUGAUUUUGGUGUGUCCGGCCCUUGGUUCCGAUGAGUCGAGCAGGUGGUUCCGGUGUGCUGGGCAUCAGGUUCUGGUCUGUUGGCAAGGUAGUUCCGGCGUGUCUGGCACGUGGUUCUGGCACGUCUGAGAGGAGGUUCCGGCAUGCCCGGCUGGUGAUUCCAGAGUGUCUGCCACAUGUUUCUGGCAUAACCGCGAGAGGAUUUUGGCGUGUCCGGCAGGUGGUUCGGGCGUGCUCAGCAGGUGGUUCAGGCAUUUCUGGAAGGUGGUUCCGAUCUGUCCGGGAGUUGGUUCCGGCAUGUCCAGCACAUGGCUCUGGCAUGUCUGAAGGUGUUUCUGGAACGAUGGGCAGGUCAUUCUGGACUGUCCGCCACGUGCUUCUGGCAUAGCUGGCAGGUUAUUUUGGCGUGUCCGGCAGGUGGUUCUGGCGAGUGGAUCAGGUGGUUCUGGCGUGCUCGGCAGGUGGUUCAGGCAUGUGCGGCAGGUGAUUCCGGUCUGUCUGGAGGUGGUUCCGCCGUGUCCGGCAUGUGGUUCUGGCACGUCUGAGAGGUGGUUACAGCAUGCCCAGCUGGUGAUUUCAGAGUGUCCGCCAAGUGGUUCUGGCGUACUGGCAGGUGAUUUUGGUGUGUCUAGAAGGUGGUUCCGGUGUUUCCGGGAGGUGGUUCCGGCGUGUCUGGCACGUGGUUCUCGCACAUCUGAGAGGUGGUUCCGGCAUGCCCAGCAGGUGGUUCUGGAUUUUCAGCCAAGUGUUUCUGGCAUAGUCAGCAUGAGAUUUUGGUGUGUCCGGCAGGUGGUUGUGGUGAGUGAAGCAGGAGGUUCCAGCGUGUUCGGCAGGUGGUUCCGGAUUUUCCGCCAAGUGUUUCUGGCGUAGUCAGCAUGAGAUUUUGGCGUGUCCGGCAUGUGGUUACGGUGAGUUGAGCAGCUGGUUCCGGCGUUCUCGACAGGUGGUUCCGGCGUGUCAUGCAGGUGGUUCUGGUCCUUCCUGUAGGUGGUUUAGGCAUGUCUGGCACAUGGUUCUGUCACGCCUUAGAUGUCAUUAUGGGAUGCCUGGCAGGUGAUUCUGGACUUUCUGCCACGUGGUUCUGGUGUUGGCGGCAGGUCACUUUGGCGUGUCCGGCAGGUGGUUCUGGCAAGUGGAGCAGGUUGUCCUGGCCUGCUUGGAAAGUGGUUCCGGUCUGUCCGGGAGGUGGCUCCGGCGUGUCUGGCAUGUGGUUCUCGUACAUCUGAGAGGUGGUUCCAGCAUGGCCGGCAGGUGAUUCUGGAGUGUCUGGCUAGUGGUUCUGAAGUAGCCAGCCGGUGAUUUUGGCGUGUCCUGCAUGUGGUUCCGGUCUGUCCGGGAGGUGGUUCUGGCGUGUCCAGCAUGUGGUUCUGGCACGUCUCAGAAGUGGUGCAGGCAUGCCAAGCAGGUCAUUCCAGAGUGUUCGCCACGUGGUUCUGGCGUAGUCGGCAGGUGAUUUUGGCAUGUCUAGAAGGUGGUUCCGGACUUUCCGGAAGGUGGUUCCGGCGUGUCAGGCACGUGGUCCUGGCACGUCUGAGAGGUGGUUCCGGAAUGCCCGGCAGGUGAUUACGGAGUUUCCGCCAAGUGGUUUUGGCGUAGCCAGCAGGAGAUUUUGGCAUGUCUGGCAGAUGGUUCCGGCGAGUUUAGCUGGAUGUUCCAGCAUGCUCAUCAGUUCGUUCAGGCGACCCCGGCAGGUGGUACUGGUCUGUCCGGGUGGUGCUUCCUGAGUGUCCAGCACGUGGGUCUGGCACAUCUGAGAG